CAGAUGAGUGUGGGUUGCUGCCAACAGCACUGCAGUCUCCCAGCUCUCGUCCUGCUUACUCAGCACUCCAGGCCUUAACAACCCACUGGGACACACACACACGCACACACAUCCCAUUACAGUAAGCUCUCACUACACUCUGGGGUGGCGUUUAUUACGUUAAGCAUGCGCUGUGAUGUGCUCACACAUGCUGUAUUCACGUGAGCACAGACAGACGGACGCUGGUCAUCUACACAUCCAUUCCAUCACACAAACACUGAGAUACACACACACACACACACACGUACUUACCAAUCUGACUUUAUAGUUUAGACCCGUCUAUCUAAUAGGAUUUGCCAAUAUUUCAAAAAGCUUAUGGCUCAAUUACUAGAUAUCAAUACAAAUAGCAUGUGUUCUGGUACUUUUAUACAGAUGUACAGUGAAGGUGUGCGUUUGAGCACAUACUACAUGUCCAGAUUGUCACACUAAGCACAAAGUAAACUGCUCUUGGAAGUAUACCACAGUUUGUUAACUUCCACUAAUCAUGUCUAUGAGCUAGAAACAAUAACCUGUUGCGAUGCAACAUUACAGAAUGAGGAAUGCGUUGCGUCGGCAGACACCACGUUUAUACAACACAUGUGUGCUACGGGUUAAACCAUCUUUGAGUGUGGGUGUGUGUUGGUGUCAGUAAACAACAAAACAAAGAGGGAAACUUAAAGAGCUGCAGAUGGUAACCGCCGCAGUAACACUCGAGCACAAAGAACUGAGAUACGGACUUGCUCCAUUAACAGAGAAGGUUCUCAGGUCUCACCCUCGGUGAACGAUCCAAACCAACCAUAACAAAACCACACUACCAGCAGAAUGCCAUCAAAAUACACAGUAAUCACUGCACGGCAUAGAAUGGGAGGAAGUGACUCUCACAACGCAUUAAAAAAAACAUUUGAUUGUUGUAGCAGUUUCAUGUAGGAAUCAUUGUUGAAAAGAAAUAGUUGCUAGAAAACUGCUCACAACUUGAUCUGUGGAUUUAGGGACUUUAUACGUAACAAGUUACGUAUAUCACACUAUCGCAAUAUCUCAAGUAUGAUUUCUACAAUUCCUCUGAAGGACGAUAUAUUAUCUGCCGACACUACUUCUUAUGUGUUUGUAAUAUUUGGUAUUCAUAAUUUAAUAUUUAGUAGUACUAACACGUUCCCCUAACCUUCAUGACAGAAGUGCAAAAAUCAUCAUUAUCUGAAUAUAAUGCAGUCAAGUUCAAUAGCACUGCAAACUGCAAGAAUAAUUCAUGUUAAUAUAGUUAAUAUUCAUCCUAUUGUUAGAUGAACAAAUUUGGCAGUGUCCAUCCAAAUACGUAGAUACAGAGUGAAUUUGAAUUCAAUGUAUUUAGUUAAUGAUUCUGCAUAGUACAGCAGAUGUCCAUAAAUUAAAGGUUAGCUGAUACUGACUACAUGCAGUAUCCUCCAUCCAUUUCCUGUCAUUUCAUGGUGCGAUGGAGUCGGUGCUCACCCACCAGCUGUAAACACUGUAGCAGAGCACUGAAAAUGCUGCGUCGGGAGAAACAAUGGCGCUGUUGCACAGAUCCUGGUUCAUCAUUCAUUAUUGAUGAGGGACUUAUGUUUCACACAAACGUGGCUAUAUGUAACAUAACAGGGCCUCAAGUGUGUGUUUGGUACCUGCGCAGCAUUACUGAGUGAGCGAACGUACUUGUGUGUGUUAUUGUGUUGCAGUGAUUCAUCAGUUCAGCCGUAGCAUUGCAUAGAUCUCUUCAGCUUUCCAAGCUAUAGAUUCCAAUUUGCUGCAGGCCAGGGACCUUUAUUAUGAGGAUAUUGAUUUGAAUUUCAUAGUGAGAUCAAUGAUGCUGGGUAGCAAACAGAGCACUGGAUCUUGGAUAAACACACAAAAUCCUGGGACAAAAAAAGACAAAAACAGAUGGAAUAAAUAUCUGGCAGGGGUGAUUGAAGCAGCUACAGCAUCACACUGAUCAGUUUUUAGUUGAUUUCUACCAAAGAAAGCAUCAUUAUUCUUAGUAUAAUAAAUGCACUUAUAGUUUUCCAACUUAUUUUUCCCUGUUGCUAAACAAACCUGUGACUGUAAUGUGAUUAUGACUGCAAUGUGACUGUAAUGUUACUGUAAUGUCACUGCAUUGUGACUGUAACGUGAUUCAAAUGUAUUCAAAUCCAUUCAAAUGUAUAGUAUUUGAGCAUCUUUUAACUCUUUAUUUCUAAAUUUUACAAUCCAGAACUUUAAUGUUAUGUUUCACUCCCAACAGUCUCAUCAGCAUCAUUUCCACCUCCAGCUGUAAAAGCUCUUGAAAUCCAUUGCAGGGUAACUAACAAGCACCAAAUGAGGCCCAGCGAGCAGCUAGCCUGACGGAUAAGGGUUCCUCAAAGUGCCACCGUAUUCUCUGACGAUGCUGAAUCCACAACUGCAGUUCGCUAAAG
ensembl:lncRNA